GCAUGGCAGAAUUCUGUUCCAGCUCUGUGGUGGACACAGUCAGACACCAUGCAAGAGUAUUGCCUCGUUUCUUUUAACUAUGGGUGAAUUGUUUUCAGCUUCAUCCAGCAAUAUAGGAAUGAGUACACUG
ensembl:snoRNA